rnacentral:rRNA from 1 species
GAUGAACGCUGGCGGCGUGCCUAAUACAUGCAAGUCGAGCGAAUGGAUUAAGAGCUUGCUCUUAUGAAGUUAGCGGCGGACGGGUGAGUAACACGUGGGUAACCUGCCCAUAAGACUGGGAUAACUCCGGGAAACCGGGGCUAAUACCGGAUAACAUUUUGAACCGCAUGGUUCGAAAUUGAAAGGCGGCUUCGGCUGUCACUUAUGGAUGGACCCGGGUCGCAUUAGCUAGUUGGUGAGGUAACGGCUCACCAAGGCAACGAUGCGUAGCCGACCUGGGAGGGUGAUCGGACACACUGGGACUGGGACACGGCCCAGGAUCCUACGGGAGGCAGCAGUAGGGAAUCUUCCGCAAUGGACGAAAGUCUGACGGAGCAACGCCGCGUGAGUGAUGAAGGCUUUCGGGUCGUAAAACUCUGUUGUUAGGGAAGAACAAGUGCUAGUUGAAUAAGCUGGCACCUUGACGGUACCUAACCAGAAAGCCACGGCUAACUACGUGCCAGCCGCCGCCGUAA